GAGCUCGGUGUUAGAGCAGCUGCUUUGCAUGCAGAAGGUUUCAGGUUCAAUCCCUGACAUCUCCA